rnacentral:RNase_P_RNA from 1 species
UGGGUCGGCAAGACGGUCGCGUCGCUUCUCUGGUGUGAAAGCACGGCGAGAGGCGCCGAGGAACGUCCGGGCUCCGCAGAGCAGGAUGGUGGGUAACACCCACCCGGGGUAACCCGCGAGAAAGUGCAACAGAAAGCAGACCGCCAGGGACUUCGGUGCCUGGUCAGGGUGAAACGGUGGUGUAAGAGACCACCAGCGGCCCGUGUGAGCGGGUCGGCUAGGUAAACCUCGUCCGGAGCAAGGUCAGACAGAAGGCUAUGAGGCUGCUCGCCUCGUCUUCGGGUAGACCGCUAGAGGGCUGCGGCAACGUAGCUCCGAGAUAGAUGGCCGUCGAUGUCGCCUCGUGCGGCGGGACAGAACCCGGCGUAAUAGCCGGCCCAUUCA